rnacentral:rRNA from 1 species
AAAUUGAAGAGUUUGAUCAUGGCUCAGAUUGAACGCUGGCGGCAGGCCUAACACAUGCAAGUCGAACGGUAACAGGAAGCAGCUUGCUGCUUUGCUGACGAGUGGCGGACGGGUGAGUAAUGUCUGGGAAACUGCCUGAUGGAGGGGGAUAACUACUGGAAACGGUGGCUAAUACCGCAUAACGUCGCAAGACCAAAGAGGGGGACCUUCGGGCCUCUUGCCAUCAGAUGUGCCCAGAUGGGAUUAGCUAGUUGGUGAGGUAACGGCUCACCAAGGCGACGAUCCCUAGCUGGUCUGAGAGGAUGACCAGCCACACUGGAACUGAGACACGGUCCAGACUCCUACGGGAGGCAGCAGUGGGGAAUAUUGC